AUUGAACGCUGGCGGCAUGCCUUACACAUGCAAGUCGAACGGUAACAGGUCUUCGGAUGCUGACGAGUGGCGAACGGGUGAGUAAUACAUCGGAACGUGCCCGAUCGUGGGGGAUAACGCAGCGAAAGCUGUGCUAAUACCGCAUACGAUCUACGGAUGAAAGCGGGGGAUCGCAAGACCUCGCGCGGACGGAGCGGCCGAUGGCAGAUUAGGUAGUUGGUGGGAUAAAAGCUUACCAAGCCGACGAUCUGUAGCUGGUCUGAGAGGACGACCAGCCACACUGGGACUGAGACACGGCCCAGACUCCUACGGGAGGCAGCAGUGGGGAAUUUUGGACAAUGGGGGAAACCCUGAUCCAGCCAUGCCGCGUGCAGGAUGAAGGCCUCGG
rnacentral:rRNA from 1 species